CGAUGUCGACUCAUCUCAUCCUGGAGCUGAAGCAGGUUCCAAGGGUUCGGCUGUUCGCCGAUUAAAGAGAUACGUGAGUUGGGUUCAAACCGUCGUGAGACAGGUUGGUCCCUAUCUGUCAUGCCCGUAGGAAGAUUGAGAAGAGCUGUUCCUAGUACGAGAGGACCGGAAUGGACACACCUCUUGUGAUCCUGUUGUCG
rnacentral:rRNA from 1 species